rnacentral:rRNA from 1 species
AGUGAAUAGAUACCCUGGUAGUCCACGCCAUAAACGAUGACAACUAGACGUCGAGAGGAUUUGCCUCACGGUGUCGCAAGCUAAACGCGUUAAGUUGUCCGCCUGGGGAGUACGGCCGCAAAGGUUGAAAACUCAAAAGGAAUUGAACGGGGGCCCGGCACAAGCGGUGGGAGCAUGUGGUUUUAAUUUACGUAUGCAACGCGAAGAACCUUAACCUGGCCGUUGACAUGUCUGGAAGACCGCAGAGAUGUGGUUGUGUCCGAAAGGAAAACCAGAACAACAGGUGCUGCAUGGCUGUCGUCAGCUCGUGUCGUGAGAUGUUGGGUUUAAGUCCCGCAACGAGCGCAACCCUUCGUCUUACGUUGCCAGCACUUCGGGUUGGGCGACUCUAAGGAGACCGCCGGUCGACAAACCGGAACGGAGGUAGGGGAGUGACGUCAAGUCAUCAUGGCCUUUAGUCGUCGACGGGCGUACACACGUGCUACAAUGUCGGUACAGAGGUU